CGGGUUUCGGCCUGGCGGCGAGUGGCGAACGGGUGAGUAAGACAUCGGAACGUGUCCUGGAGUGGGGGAUAGCCCGGCGAAAGCCGGAUUAAUACCGCAUACGCUCUGAGGAGGAAAGCGGGGGACCUUAGGGCCUCGCGCUCAAGGGGCGGCCGAUGGCAGAUUAGCUAGUUGGUAGGGUAAAGGCCUACCAAGGCGACGAUCUGUAGCUGGUCUGAGAGGACGACCAGCCACACUGGGACUGAGACACGGCCCAGACUCCUACGGGAGGCAGCAGUGGGGAAUUUUGGACAAUGGGGGCAACCCUGAUCCAGCAAUGCCGCGUGUGUGAAGAAGGCCUUCGGGUUGUAAAGCACUUUUGUCCGGAAAGAAAACGGCCUGGCUAAUACCUGGGCUGGAUGACGGUACCGGAAGAAUAAGCACCGGCUAACUACGUGCCAGCAGCCGCGGUAAUACGUAGGGUGCGAGCGUUAAUCGGAAUUACUGGGCGUAAAGCGUGCGCAGGCGGUUUGCUAAGACCGAUGUGAAAUCCCCGGGCUUAACCUGGGAACUGCAUUGGUGACUGGCAGGCUAGAGUAUGGCAGAGGGAGGUAGAAUUCCACGUGUAGCAGUGAAAUGCGUAGAGAUGUGGAGGAAUACCGAUGGCGAAGGCAGCCUCCUGGGCCAAUACUGACGCUCAUGCACGAAA
rnacentral:rRNA from 2 species